rnacentral:rRNA from 1 species
UACAGAGGUCUCGAGCGUUGUUCGGAUUCAUUGGGCGUAAAGGGUGCGUAGGUGGUCAGGUAAGUCGGAUGUGAAAAUCCCGGGGCUCAACCUCGGAACUGCAUUCGAUACUGCCUGACUGGAGUACUGGAGAGGAGAUUGGAAUUUACGGUGUAGCAGUGAAAUGCGUAGAUAUUAGGAAGAACACCAGUGGCGAAGGCGGGUCUCUGGGCCGAUACUGACGUGAGGAGCGAAAAGCGUGGGGGAGCAAAACAGG